rnacentral:rRNA from 1 species
UACGAAGGGGGCUAGCGUUGUUCGGAAUCACUGGGCGUAAAGGGCGCGUAGGCGGCUUUAUAAGUCGGGGGUGAAAGCCUGUGGCUCGACCACAGAAUUGCCUUCGAUACUGAAGAUCUUGAGUCCGGGAGAGGUGAGUGGAACUGCGAGUGUAGAGGUGAAAUUCGUAGAUAUUCGCAAGAACACCAGUGGCGAAGGCGGCUCACUGGCCCGGUACUGACGCUGAGGCACGAAAGCGUGGGGAGCAAACAGG